CUGUCCUUAACAUGAAUGGGGAAUCACAGUUCAAACGUCAUGAGCUUAUGCUCGAACUUAAACAACAACCUUUACAGUAGAUCACACGGUAGUGUACAAUCUGAGAGCCCGACUCUGUUUCACAACCCCAGUUUAGUAGAUCACAUGCUACUGUAAAUUCUUGAGAAUCUGAUCAUCGGAUUCCUGACAAUCCUAAUUAUAGUUCUACGCUUUACACAUAAAGUAAUCAUAAUCCCCACACACCAUAAGAAGAUUUAAGACCUUAGAUUAUGACUUGACAUGAUUCCUCUUGCUGGUACGAGUUUGUAGCUUCUGACCAUGCGUCGUUUGCAGCUCAAAUGAUUGAGUUAUGCUCCAUUUACUUUUUUGCAACAAUCCAAAAACUUGUUGAGACAGAAAUGUUACGCUAGUCCUUCAACUUUCUCUAUUACACUAAGUGGUCUGGAACAUUCGUUCGUUGACAAAACUGUUCCAACUUCUUAACUGUAAACCAUCCAAAAGUUUAGAGCUACUGGAACAAAACUGAAGAAUAACGAAAUUCACAGAUUGGUCACUAACUUUCUAGACUUGCAGUUUAGUCCCUCUUCUUCUCCGGCGGACAUGGGUCGCCACCGGCGAGCCGUAGCCAGAACCUGGCGAGCGAGCCCUUGAACACACACCGUCUCUUAGCCUCCGGUCUGAUGUCGUCUCCAGGACGAGGGCUUCCGAUACCUCGCUUCUCUUUUUCCUCCCUCACACGCGCCGGCCACCACGCCGCAACAAUCGCCGAUUACCAAAUCCGCCGCCACCGUCGAUUUCGAAUCUGUUGCCAUCUCCUCCUUUCAAUCGAUGAUCGUUGCCGGCUCUUCCUCUCACGAACAACGAACUCUCCUCUAUCCAGCGCCGAGGCAACAACGAAGCCACUAUUGGCGACGAAUCUCCUCUCGUGAUCAAUCACCAUCAAUCUCCCUCUUACUGUGUUUUUGCGAUUAGAUUUUGUAUUUAAAUUUUUCUUCAAAAAUAAUCCUACAGUCCUUAUAUACUGAACCCAUCACAACCUUGAUGAAAAAGCAAUCACGUCUGUUGCUACGCUUCCCAUCACGCAUAUGGUCAUCAAUCACCCAAGGGCAUGCCAUCCAAACAACCAUAGAUGUGCCUUCCAAACAACCGCAUACGUGAUCUCCAAACAAUCGUGCCCGUUUCUCAUUAAAUCAAAAC
rnacentral:lncRNA from 1 species